GAAUUUUUAUGGGCUUUUUUUUUCCUCCCUUUUUACAUUUGUUUCUGUGACUGCUUAUGGGUCAUGUGUUUAAUAUAUUUUUUUAUUGUUUAAUUUUGUUUAGUUAGUAGUUUCUUUUUGAGAUUAAACUGACCCCAUUAAUAUAGAUUAUUCUAAAUUUGUUUUAGGGAAAAAGAAGGUAAGAUAUUUCUAUUUUUAUUUUUUUUGGUUUAAUUCUUUGCUGACAUGGCAUUCUCUAGAUGAAUUUCAAAGUGCUGAGGUGGACACUCGAAAAAGACUCAAAUUGUCCCUUUUAUUAGUAUUGACUAAGAAUAAUCCGGGCUGUGCCCAGUCUAUUUUUUAUUGUUAUUUUCUAUAUUUGUUAUAUUUUUGUAGUUUUUAAAUUUUUUGACGCAUGAAUAUUUGGUUAUAUUUUUUUUUUGUUAAUUUUUUAAAUUAUU
rnacentral:lncRNA from 1 species